rnacentral:rRNA from 1 species
AUUGAACGCUGGCGGUAUGCUUAACACAUGCAAGUCGAACGGUAGCAGGCCUUCGGGCGCUGACGAGUGGCGGACGGGUGAGUAAUGCAUAGGAAUCUGCCUAUUAGUGGGGGAUAACGUGGGGAAACUCACGCUAAUACCGCAUACGCCCUACGGGGGAAAGCGGGGAACUUUCGGGCCUCGCGCUAAUAGAUGAGCCUAUGUUGGAUUAGCUAGUUGGUAGGGUAAAGGCCUACCAAGGCGACGAUCCAUAGCUGGUCUGAGAGGAUGAUCAGCCACACUGGGACUGAGACACGGCCCAGACUCCUACGGGAGGCAGCAGUGGGGAAUAUUGGACAAUGGGCGAAAGCCUGAUCCAGCAAUACCGCGUGUGUGAAGAAGGCCUGAGGGUUGUAAAGCACUUUCAAUGGGAAGGAAUACCUACCGGCCAAUACCCGGUAGACUGACAUUACCCAUACAAGAAGCACCGGCUAACUCCGUGCCAGCAGCCGCCGUAACAC